rnacentral:rRNA from 1 species
AAUCAACGCAGGCGGCGUGCCUCAGACAUGCAAGUCGAACGAUUAAGACUUCCUUCGGGAAGUGUAAAAAGUGGCGCACGGGUGAGUAACACGUAAGUAAUCUACCUUCGAGUGGAGAAUAACAUCGGGAAACCGAUGCUAAUACCGCAUAAUGCAGCGGCAUCGCAAGAUGACAGUUGUUAAAGGAGCAAUUCGCUUGAAGAGGAGCUUGCGGCAGAUUAGCUAGUUGGUAAGGUAAUGGCUUACCAAGGCUACGAUCUGUAUCCGGUCUAAGAGGACGGUCGGACACACUGACACUGAAUAACGGGUCAGACUCCUACGGGAGGCAGCAGUCGGGAAUUUUGGGCAAUGGGCGAAAGCCUGACCCAGCAACGCCGCGUGAGGGAUGAAGUAUUUCGGUAUGUAAACCUCGAAAGAAUGGGAAGAAUAAAUGACGGUACCAUUUAUAAGCUCCGGCUAACUACGUGCCAGCCGCCGCAGUAAAAC